AUGCUCCCUUCAGCUGCACCCACACUACAGUUAGAAACAUACAGAGAAGAUUAGCGUGGCCCCUGCUCAGAGAUGUCAUGCAAAAUUGUGAGGCAUUCUGUAAAAAA
ensembl:snRNA U6 U6 spliceosomal RNA